CUACGGGGCGCUGCAGUGAGGAAUAUUGGUCAAUGGGCGCGAGCCUGAACCAGCCAUCCCGCGUGCAGGAUGACGGCCCUAUGGGUUGUAAACUGCUUUUCUAUGCCAAGAAACCCUGUUACGAGUAACAGGUUGCCGGUAGCAUAGGAAUAAGCAUCGGCUAACUCCGUGCCAGCAGCCGCGGUAAUACGGAGGAUGCAAGCGUUCUCCGGAUUCAUUGGGUUUAAAGGGUGCGCAGGUGGGCUUGUAAGUCAGUGGUGAAAUGCUGCCGCUUAACGGUAGAACUGCCAUUGAUACUGCGAGUCUUGAGUAUGGUUGAGGUAGGCGGAAUGUGUUGUGUAGCGGUGAAAUGCAUAGAUAUGACACAGAACGCCAAUUGCGAAGGCAGCUUACUAAGCCAUUACUGACGCUGAGGCACGAAAGCGUGGGGAGCGAACAGGAUUAGAUACCCCUGUAGUC
rnacentral:rRNA from 1 species